UAUUGAAGUCAAACAAUUUCUAUACAUUUUCUAGAAAUAUUUGUUAAAUGUACAUAUUCAUCCUUAUUUUCUGCAUGAAAAACAUCUUUCAAUAAUUUAUUUACCAGUUUAAUAUUUUGGGAUACCAUUGUCAAGGGGUACAAUCAAAAUCACAUGAUGGAUAUACACACACCGGAAGUAACAGUCGAGCAGACCGCUUGAAAGGUACUUUCUGUGGCAUGUUUUCAUGGUGUGGGAAUAAGACUUGGUGGUCAAAUACAGCUAAUAUGUAGGUUAGCACCACAGCUUGUCUGCAAGGAUUGAAGCUGGGAAACGGCCAUUGGAGCUGAAUUUUAUGGAAGCUGUGGCUGCAGCAAUGAUUAUGUGAUAAAACUGAAGAAUGUUAUUCAAAUUUUUUUUGUAUAUAUUUCAAAAAAUGUAAUUUUUUAUAAAAAAAAAAAAAAAAAAAAAAAAAAGGUGUAAAGAUUCUCCAUUUUCAAUUAGAUUGGAAGCUUGUAUUUACAAUUGUUAGAUCUUCUUCGUUAUUCCCCCACCCCCUGUAUCUCUAUUUCAUUUUUACUUUGAAAAUGAAAUGGAACAGACAAAUUUUACUUGUCAACUUAAUAAUGGUCUGUCUAGUCAAAAGGCCUCCAGUUGGUUUAGAAUGGAGAAUCUAAAAAAAAUAUGUAAAGUGUUUUUUUUUAGUUUCCUGAAUUUUUAUAUACAUUUUGUUAUUGCUCCCUUUCAAUUUUUAUAAAUUCCAGAUUUUAAGUUUUGGAUUUAUGGGGCUUUAUUCAUAAAAAAGGGGGAUUUUUCACACCUGGACAAUAACUCAAAAAGGCUUUCACCAAUGUCCAUGAAACUUUGGUGAAUUGUUUAUAUCUAUUGACAUCAGCUCACUUUCCCUUUUUAUUAAUUUACGUUUUCUUAAGUAAUGAAUUUUUAUAGUUAAAAAAGGGGGGUUUUAUGCAGUUUUGGUGAAACUUAAAAGAGCAACGGCCGUAUCAUGUGCUAAAGCGCAUCCCUUUAUUGAAAUGUGUUGUAGUUUUUACAUAUUAUUAUUUCUUUAUUUUAAUAAUACAAAUUUUGUAUUGUUAAAUAUUUAAAGGGUGUGGAGUCUCAACAGGGUGAAAUUUUCAGGACAAAAGGGAGGUAAUUCCUUUAUAGUUAUACUCAUUAUACUUGAAAUUUCCUGAGUGUUUAUAUGGAAUAUAACUUUUUUAAUUAAAAUAUUCACUUUUGUACACAUUUUCUUUAAAUAUCAGAUGUAUACUUGCUAAAAUUACUUUUAUUUAGAGUUCUGUAAAUAAAAAAAAAUGUAAGCAGAGCUCUAGCUAUAGAUAAUAGAUUUGGAGGGUGGGAGAAAUUGUGGGUAACUACAAUUGAUAAGGUGAAAUUUCAAAAGACUUAAAAAGUGCAUCUGAUAUUUAUUUUUACAUAAUGUUAUUUCUGAAAGCAAAUGGACAAUAAGAUGAGGACAUAAACCACCUUCCAGGUUAGGAUAGCAGCUCUUAAGGAAGAUGGUCAAUUAAAUCUUCAACCCAGUCUGAGGCCUUACCAUGAAAAAUAUGUGGUUGUUGAAAUUACAAUGUUUUCAUGGUGUCGGGAGUAAGACUUGAAAAUCUGAUAUUGUUAACUUGAUGGUUAGCAUCACAAGUUUCCUUUGGGUAACUUGCUUGAGGAGUAAAGAGAGCUGUUUAAGUUGAAAGUGUCACCUUUGCUGCCUUGUGUGGUACAAUCUUCAGACAAUAUCCUGCAAACCGUGGCUGAACUGUUACUAUCUUUUUUUAGUAGAAUCCUUAGACAGUAAUCUUGUGGCAGAAUGAGUUGUAAACAAAUUGUUUUUAUUCCUGUAUUGAGUUUCAAAUUGGAUAUUUUUUUAUUUAUAUUAUUUGUAUUCCAUUUGCAUUCAAUUAUUGUUUUUUAAUUGAUGAAUCAUUAAAACUUAAAUUUUGUGGGGUCCUAAAGGACUUUCUUAGAGGGGGCCAGCGCAAUUGAUUAAACAAAUUUUUUCCCGCAACAGGGAGAGGAGACAUCCCCAUAAAUAUGCCUUUGAAAUGGGGUGUUAAAGAAGAUUUGUAUUGUUUGUUUGUUUGUCCAUCAUCAGCUCUCAUCCACAGCUUGGUAGAUUUUCAUUGAAACUUUCAGCUGAUUUUCUGUACUAAAAUCAGUAUGUUUUUUAAUUUAUUAUAAUGAAAUUUUGGGUUUUCCCAACCUUUUUGAAGUGAAAACAAUGGAACACAGUGUUGGCAGAUACUGAAGAUUAUUUGAAAGUUUAGAGAAAGUCCCAUUUAAUCUUGAUAAUUGUGGGUUAAAGUUGUAGAUGGAUAAACAAACAUAUCAUACACUUACUCACUUUACCUAUUUGCGAAUCCAGAACUUAACAUAAAGGGGCCCAACACCAGUCAUUUCCUGUACAAUCAAC